rnacentral:rRNA from 1 species
CCGAUCCCCGACCGGCUGCCUGCUCCGGCUCCCUCCCGUCGCGACACGCGGGGUGAGUCCCUUUCCUCCGCCUCUGUCUUGUCGGGGGUCCUUUGGGGUCGGUGGGCGAAGGUCUUUUUAUUCUGUGGAAACCUGCUCGCAGGGGGGCGCAGGCCCGGGACUUGCCAUGGACGCCGCUUGUCCCAUGCUCCCUCGGGGGCUGGGCGAGCGCUCAGUCGGCAAGUACCAGGAGCAGGCAUGUUGGGACCCGAAAGAUGGUGAACUAUGCCUGGCCAGGAUGAAGCCAGAGGAAACUCUGGUGGAGGUCCGUAGCGAUUCUGACGUGCAAAUCGAUCGUCAGAGCUGGGUAUAGGGGCGAAAGACUAAUCGAACCAUCUAGUAGCUGGUUCCCUCCGAAGUUUCCCUCAGGAUAGCUGGAACUCGCCACCAGAUGAAUUUCAUCCGGUAAAGCGAAUGAUUAGAGGUCUUGGGGACGAAACGUCCUCAACCUAUUCUCAAACUUUAAAUGGGUGAGAUGCCGAGCUUGCUUAAAAGAUGAAGCUUCGGCGACGAAUCGGAGUUCCUAGUGGGCCACUUUU